UACAGAGGGUGCAAGCGUUGUCCGGAAUCACUGGGCGUAAAGGGCGCGUAGGCGGCCUGUUAAGUCGAACGUGAAAUCCCCGGGCUCAACCCGGGAACUGCGUCCGAUACUGGCAGGCUUGAAUUCGGGAGAGGGAUGCGGAAUUCCAGGUGUAGCGGUGAAAUGCGUAGAUAUCUGGAGGAACACCGGUGGCGAAGGCGGCAUCCUGGACCGAGAUUGACGCUGAUGCGCGAAAGCCAGGGGAGCAAACGGG
rnacentral:rRNA from 1 species